rnacentral:rRNA from 1 species
GACGAACGCUGGCGGCGUGCUUAACACAUGCAAGUCGAACGGUGAAGCGCCUUCCUUUUUGGUGGGUGUGGAUGAGUGGCGAACGGGUGAGUAACACGUGAGUAACCUGCCCCCUUCUUCUGGAUAACCGCAUGAAAGUGUGGCUAAUACGGGAUAUUCUGGUUCUGUCGCAUGAUGGGUCUGGGAAAGAUAUUGUUUCGGUGGGGGAGGGGCUCGCGGCCUAUCAGCUUGUUGGGGGGGUGAUGGCCUACCAAGGGGGUGACGGGUAGCCGGCCUGAGGGGGUGGACGGUCACACUGGGACUGAGACACGGCCGAGACUCCUACGGGAGGCAGCAGUGGGGAAUAGUGCACAAUGGGCGAAAGCCUGAUGCAGCGACGCCGCGUGAGGGAUGGAGGCCUUCGGGUUGUGAACCUCUUUCGCCAGUGAAGCAGGCCUGCCUCGUUUGUGGGUGGGUUGACGGUAGCUGGAUAAGAAGCGCCGGCUAACUACGUG